AGACACGUGGGUGAUCUGCCCUGCACUUCGGGAUAAGCUUGGGAAACUGGGUCUAAUACCGGAUAGGAGCCAUCUUUAGUGUGGUGGUUGGAAAGUUUUUUCGGUGUAAGAUGAGCUCGCGGCCUAUCAGCUUGUUGGUGGGGUAAUGGCCUACCAAGGCGGCGACGGGUAGCCGGCCUGAGAGGGUGUACGGCCACAUUGGGACUGAGAUACGGCCCAG
rnacentral:rRNA from 1 species